AUCUACAGCCAUACCACCCUGAACGCGCCUGAUCUCGUCUGAUCUCGUAAGCUAAGAAGGGUCAGGCCUGGUUAGUACUUGGAUGGGAGAGAGUGUCCCUCAAGAAGGUAUUCUGUGGCAA
rnacentral:rRNA from 1 species